CAGUAGCCGCGGUAAUACGGAGGAUCCAAGCGUUAUCCGGAAUCAUUGGGUUUAAAGGGUCCGUAGGCGGUCUUGUAAGUCAGUGGUGAAAGCCCAUCGCUCAACGGUGGAACGGCCAUUGAUACUGCAGGACUUGAAUUAUUGGGAAGUAACUAGAAUAUGUAGUGUAGCGGUGAAAUGCUUAGAGAUUACAUGGAAUACCAAUUGCGAAGGCAGGUUACUACCAAUUGAUUGACGCUGAUGGACGAAAGCGUGGGUAGCGAACAGGAUUAGAUACCCGAGUAGUCCCUGUCUCUUAUAA
rnacentral:rRNA from 1 species